rnacentral:rRNA from 1 species
GUACACGCUGUGACUAGCAUAUCAAUAAGCGGAGGAAAAGAAACUAACAAGGAUUCCCCUAGUAACGGCGAGUGAAGCGGGAAGAGCUCAAAUUUGAAAUCUUAAAGGGUUUCCCUUUACGAAUUGUAGUUUAAAUGAAGUGUUUUCUGUUGAGGUUUUGGUAAAAGUUCUUUGGAAUAGGACAUCAUAGAGGGUGAGAAUCCCGUAUUUGACCUUUACUUUCAACUUUGUGAUACACUUUCAAAGAGUCGGAUUGUUUGGGAAUGCAGUCCAAAAUGGGUGGUAAAUUUCAUCUAAAGCUAAAUAUUGGCGAGAGACCGAUAGCGAACAAGUACCGUGAGGGAAAGAUGAAAAGAACUUUGAAAAGAGAGUUAAACAGUACGUGAAAUUGUCAAAAGGGAGGCGUUUGACACCAGUGUUGUUUUUCUGAAAAUCAAUUAAAGAACUGUUUAUGCUAAGUUGUUUAGACUUUAUCAGCUAUCUGUUUAGUUUUGAGCUUUUCUUUAAUGCACUUUUCAGUUAACAAGUCAACAUCAAUUUCUUUUGCUGUAAAAAAGCUUGAGGAAGGUGGCUUGAGAUUCGUCUUAAGUGUUUAUAGCCUCUUGCCUAUGCAGUCGGAGAGAUUGAGGUCUGCAGCGUAGAUCCUUCGGGGCUAAAUGCAUUUGUGCUAAGUUAUAGCAUUUUAUAGACAACUUGUUGACUAUGAUUUGUCUUGUAGCUUACUCGCUUAUGUUAUUUUACCUACGCUUAGGAUGUUGAGUCGUAGAGCACGCAG